UUGGAGCAUUCACUUGUAUACAAACAUUAAGCUAACUGGAUGAUUAGCUUUGGCAUUAGAAAUGAACAACUCCUGGUAAUACUGAAAGAUUUCAAAAGACAGAUUCACAAUAUGAAGAAAAAACUCAUGCACCUGUUUGGAGCUUCAAACAAGUUUUCCUCUAGCAGAGAAGCGGAAUGACUGCUUUCAUAAGGUGAUAAAAUUUUACUCAACUAGGUCAUCCAGAACCCUUAGUAUUCCUGUUAUUACCCAGUUAAAACAAGGAGCUCUGGAAAUAAAGACCAAUCAAUGAAAA